CACUUUCAGCUUCUGAAAUGAACUGGAUUAAUACAGGAGAAAUUUCUAAAUGGCAAUUUUAUUCACUUAUCCAAAUGAAAAAAGUCUCUGCAGAAUACAGCAGGCAAUAAAUGACCUAUUUUCAGGGCAAUUUAUAAUUUUCCAGGAUUCUUGCUAUUUGAAAGAAUGAAAUGUCUCAAAGAAAAAGUAUACCAACAAAAACCCUUGAGGCCACAUAAUGUAGGAGAGCAAAAUCCUGUACUGUUUUAAGAAUAAAAAUCAAUAAAGACAAAAAUCAGAAAAGUUUAAUGAAAGAGUCUAUGGUUAUUGGGACUUUGGCCCUGAGCACAGCAUUAGUCAAAAUGCUGUAGGGCACAGAGAACUUCUAUAAGGCAUUACUUCCAGCAGAGUAAGCAAUCAGAGGAGAAAUCAGAGUCCAUUACUACUGGCAGGAUAACCUGCAUUAACUCUCUCACAGAUGCAUCACUGGUGAGAGCUGAUAAAGAAAUAUGAAGGCUGAGAAAGAAAGGGAAUAGUGUAUCUCUCACAUGUAAUUUUCAGCAAAUUUUGAUGAGCUCAAUCUUGAAUGAGUUUCCCUCCUUUUCUUUCCUCAAUUUCAUUUAGAAAAAUCACCUUGUUUAGUUAGGUUGUUCAAGUGUGGCUUUGCAACUAGCCUAAUGUGGCCCCAAAUUACUGCCCUCAACAUUCUUUAGGAAGCAUCUGAUUACCAGUAAAUACCCUAUGGUUAAGCAGAGCAAGAUAGCUCUAGGCUGAUUCCAAGAACAAGAAUCUUUCUAAACUGACAAAUCAGUCUCUUUACUGUCAAAUACUGUUUCCUGUCAGAAGGGUUCCCUAUUUUUUUCAACUUGCUUCUCCAUGCUGGCAGCCUCCUGUCGGUCUGUAUAAGGUCCUGACUCCUAAAGCUUCUAAAUUCUUCUUUUCCAUCCUCCAGUGUCCCUACAGAUUAUACCACUAACCUCUGCUACUGAUCUGGCAGGAAAUUAUCUGAAAGUCAUCCAAAAAUUAGAACUGCAUUGCCACAGAAGCUGAAUUUACUUUCUAAUAUACUGAAUUCAUUUGCCCAUAUUUUAAAACAACUCAAAAAAGAACCAUCCCUAAUAUGGUGCUGCUUUUUCUUUUUUUUUUUUUUUUUGAGGAGAUUGCUCUGUCCAUAAGAGAUGAAAGGCAGGAAGUGGCCUACCAGCAAGCAGUUCUCCUUUGAAGACAGAUAACAAAAUACCACAGUUAAAACUAUAUUUAUAAUUGCAAAAUCACUAUUCUUGAACAAAUUCCAAAUACAGUUAUGUACCUUUGAUCUUAGAAGAGCAUUUUUCUCAUUGCUCAUAGCUGACAUUGAUGGUUCAGUUAGGCACCCACUCCCAACUACGGCAAAAAUGUUCCCUGAAAUUCAAUCAUGUGGAUUAUUAGCUUUUAGUUGUUGAGAAGUGGCUGCCUUAUGCUUCACCAGUGCUGCUGCUUGGGAUAUUUCUGCCUGCUAUGACGAUAGGAGAACUUGUCCUAGGAACAGCAUCCAUGUGACCACCUGGCAGCUCUCUCAAUUCCUUCUGUGUGAUGUCAGACAGUCCUGGAGAAUCAUUCCACAUCUCCCCAGAUAAGGACUAUUAUCUCAGUAAAACAUACUGCAACCAUGAGAAAAAUUUUGAGUAACUUAGAGUUUAAGUUUCAUAUUUAAAAACAAAAUCUAUUCUCGACCUCUCACAUUUUAUAUUACAGCAAAAAAAAAAGUCUAAUGAUAACAUGUAGCUUCAAUAAUGAAGUAAGCCUAUUUUAAAACAAUGAAAAUAUCUCUAGUGUCUCCAUGGUCCAUUUUAAACAAUUAAGAGAAGAUAAAUACCACAGCAUUAUAUCAUUUAUUCAAAAAUAUUGUCUUAACUUCAACAGCUAUUGUUUGUGGGUCUUUUAAGACAAGGUAGAAACAAGGGACACUGACAUAGUAAAAUUAUGGUGGAAGCUCUUAUAUCUUUGAUAACCAGUAGUCCUUAAAGCUCAGUUAGUUGAGAGAAGCACCAAGGAGGAUUCGUAAUCAUAGCUAAGGGCCCACAUUACAACAAGAGAAUCUUUCUGGGAAAUAAGGAAAAGAACACCUUCCAUGGAAAACAACUAUGUUUUUUAAGUUACAUGCAAGUACGUGUACAGUCUCUCCCCCCCCCCCUCAGAGCUGAUAGAUUGAUAGAGAUUAGACAACUAUCUGUACUGGGAUGGUAAAAUAUUUCAUGCUCUCAUAAAAGUUGGUUUUAGUGGAACAUGACCCUGAAAGCCAAAUCUAACUUUUGAAACUCAUCUAUGAAGUCAGCAUUCACUAGAUUCUUCACUGACAACCUGACAGUUCAACUUCAAAAGGAGCAUUGACCACCUAAGCAUGUGAACACAGUAUCUCGCAACAUCUGCAGUACAGUCCUAGGAAACAGAAUUAAAGAAUAAUAAUCCAAGUGUCACCGUAUCUGUUCAGCAUCAGGCAAGUAUUAUCAUAAAUAGAUCCUUAUAAUACUGUGAAGUUUUUCCUCUCUGGCAAAUAACUAUUUUCUUUUCCUUGAAAAAGAAAACUUCACCUCCCAUCCUUUAUCAAAUGGUAGCAAUUGUACAUAUAUAUAGAAAACACAUAAAGAAAUAUAGAUUUCUAAAAUGUACAACUCCCCAGCAUAUCAAAUACUGAAUCUUACCAUCUUUGUGAAAUACAAAUAAAACACUAAAAUAGGAAGAAAGCUCUAACAAGAGAGGGCACAAGCAUGAGACUGUAAAAUCCACAAAUUAAAAUGUUUUUCUUCAAUGCACUUGCAACAGCGUGUAUACUCCAUGAUUCUGAUUUAGAAGAAAACAGACUGUAUAAGUCUAUCUAUGCCUAGAAAAAACAUGGGAAGGGUAACACCAAAAUGCUCACAAUGGAUAUGGAGUAGAAUAUGCAUUGAGGGCAACUUCCAUUUUUGUCCUCAUGCUUUUUAAGAGUUUCUGACGUUUAUUAUUUUAAACAAAUUUUAAGCAAAAAAGAACGGCAGUAAGUUAUUUAAAAUCAAAUAUUUUAAGCGUAAUUUAAUAAAGAACAAAGUAGCAGACUUCUGAGGUAGCAAAUCAAUAUGCUGCAGUGGAAAGUUGUUUUCUCCCCUGAUCCUGUCUGUGACCAUGUGACAACUUUUCACACUUGCUCAGAAUCAAUGGUUUUACUACACAAUGACUGCAACUACAGCAAAUGCACCUGUACUCUGAAAUUCAAUUACUGUGGGAGGUUUUAUAGUUUGAAUACUAAGAAGGGACACAUAUACUUCACUAUAUACACAGAAAUAAAGCAGACUCUCUACAUAUUAUAUGCUAAAUAAGAGUGAAUUUAAAAACUCCAUUGUCUUUAUAUCGUACUCAUCCCAGCUUAUUAGUCAGUGCUCUGGCUCUAGUGGGAGUAUAGAAACAUUGUUCUGUCUCAUUUCCAUGGAACUUCAGUGAUUUCCGUACUGUGAUCAGAGUUAAUUAGCUAGAGUGUCCCCGGGACCCCAGAGUAUUUUAUUCACACAGUCACAGUGAGAUUAUCACCUUGGACAGAUAUUUUCAUGUUUGUCUUCCACACUUGACUGAAGCAUACAUAUUGUAUUAUAAAGACUGCGUUCAAUAAAAGAUGAAUGAAUGAUCUGUCCCAGGAAUAACUAAACUUGGAGACAAAAGUCAGAGAUAGCUCAAGAAAUCACAAUGAGUUAUCUGUAAUCUCAGCAAUGUAAAACAUUGAAAGGAAACUAGUAAAUGUUUCUUAAAAGGGUUCCAACAGCUUAAAUCUUUUACUCUUCCUUCAACUCCACUUAUCCCCAACCACGUUUCACCAUCUGCCUUUAAAAAAGGAGCAUAAUUAGUUUUACCUAUAGUACACUUA